UUUAAAAUUUCAAUAUGUCAACUUUUACAGUUGAUUAUCUCAGCUGAACCAUUAAGGUGGUUAUAGCGAUGGGGCUCACCUCUUACCAUUCCGAACAGAGAAGUUAAGCCCAUUUGCGCAGAUGGUACUGCUUUAUUGUGGGAGAGUAUGUCGCCGCCUUCU
rnacentral:rRNA from 1 species